CUCGCUCACCCGCGCUCGCACACAUCCAAACACACGCAUGCAUGCACCGCUCACUCCGCACUUUUCGACCAGCUGACUCCUCUUGCUCUCUCUCACAUGCACGCAGAGACACGCCAGCGAAGGACAGCCUCCUCCUCCUCCUCUCUCCUCGCCCUGUUCACUAGAACACACUGCAAAAAAUACCCCUUUUUUCCUUUAUUGUCUCUUCGGAAAACUCGAAAUGUCUGUAAAAGCUGACUAUUUUUGCAGUGUGUUCAAGACCUGGCUGUAACCCUCCGAGCAGAAGGAGGACUUCAAUGUAUGAGCCAGUGGCAGCCCCAGAAAAAAUUUUACAUAUGGUGGAAACUGUAUAUGAAAAAUGGAGUCACCAUUAAGUUUUUUGGGGGUGGUUUUGAUUUUAGCAACAUACAGUGUUGUGCAAAAGCCUGGAGCUUCCUCCUAUCUCUCUAUAUUUUGUUUGGAAAAUAGGAAAUAAGUGAAGUGUUUAUUGAAACCUGCAAACAUGCAUGAAAUAAAGUAUAUAAAGGCAAAAAUAGAGCUUGUGCAGUUCUAACGAGCAUGAAAGUUCAUAUUUGACCACCUAUGCAAUAGGGAAAGGUCUCUAGCAACGUAGAAGCUCUGUUAAACAACAUGCAAGUGUUAGCAUGGCAAAUAUUACCUUAAACCUUAUUGACAUGUAAGCACUGAAAAAGGGGGACAGAUAAGCAUUCUGCACCUAAAUCAAAUGAGCUGUUUCCAAGGCUGUUCACUGUUAGUGUUGCUUGGAGUCAUAUCUUACAUGCGAAAUCGAGCGAAUUUGACAGCCUGGGCUCCCCUGUUGGCAACGGCAAUGGACACACUGAUGGACGAGCUCAGACUCUCUGUGGACUAUAUCUGAAGAGCACAUGGUGAUCUGUACUGACAGAGCAGGCUGAGGGGAACUUGGAGAGGCAGAGGUAUGCUUUGGAAAGAAGAGUGGAGCAAUGAAAUUCAGCAGAUCUGAGGUAGAAUACGUUUGUGAAUGAGAGAGAGGACAGUGGAUGGGUUAGGAUACGAGGAGCAGAGGUGGUGAAGAAGGAGAAGUUUAAGUACGUGACUUUCACUGUGCAGUGAAAUGGACAAAGCCUAAAGGAUGUGAGGAAGAGAGUGAGGGCAGGGUGGUGUGGUGGAAGAAGAAUGUCAUGGACUGAUUUGGGUCAGAACGGUAGCAUCAAAAGUGGAAAACAAGGAUUACAGUAUGAGACUAGCAACACUAGAUUGCCAAUAGUAUUCACUUGUCUGCCUUCACACACAUAUGAACUUUAGUGACAUCCCAUUCUUAAUCCAUUUGCAGCUAUAACAGCUUUAACUCUUCUGGGAAGGCUUUCCUCAACGUUUAGGAGAGUUUAUGGGAAAUUUUGACCAUUCUUCACAGGCACAUCUAUGAGGUCAGACACUGAUAGCCCGGAGUCUCCACGCUAACUCCUCCCAAAGGUGUUCUGUCUGGUACAGUCAUGUUGGAACAGGAAGGGGCCAUCCCUAAACUAUUCCCACAAAGUUGGAAGCAUGAAAUUGUCCAAAAUGUCGUGGUGUGCUGAAGUUCCUUCUUCCUUCUUGUGCUUGGUGAGGUAAGGCUUGGAUGCAGAUGCUCGGCCUGGUUGACAGAUCUUUCACUAGGGGCACCACCUUUCUGAAAACUGUACAUAAAGCUAAACAAGGAGGUCAGUAAUAAUAAGACAUCUAUCCACUCAUUCUCUUCUGCUUAUCCUUAUCAAGGUCAUGGUGGGGCUGGAGUAUGCUGUGUUAAGCUGCCGUGGUCAUUCUUCUUUGAGUACAUCCCAUCAGUGCAGUGGCGCAUUUACUUUGUGUGGAGAGUUUGAAAGAUCACCAGAGAGUCCGUUUUGCCAGGCUUCAGAUGAUGUGCUUGAGAAGACAGCAACUGAUGAAGAACUACUGGCUAAUAAGGUUGUAGGUAUAGGUCUAUUUUAUACGUAACAAUACAUCAAUGAUUCAAUGAGUCACCUGUCAGCUGUUUUAAUUUUCUAUACAAAGACAGCAAGAAUCUGGCUGUCUGCCUACUAGCUUUCACAUCUCAAACUGCAGCUUGUUUUUCUUCUCAAGUGCUUUUCCCGUUCAAUUGCAAGGCUUAAACAGUCAGCAUCAUCAAUAGUUGGCUUAAGUGGGUGAGUAAUAACCCAUAUCCCAAACCAACAGAGCUUGAAAUAAGUCACAGCAGUGGUAGCUGCAAUUACACAGCUCCCAGCAAUACUAGCAACAACUUCUUUUACAGGCAUUAGAUUGUCUGUGCUGUGCUAGAUUAUCCUCAACACCUCCUUUUAUUUGCACCUAUCAGCCAGUGGCCAUUUGCAAGCUCAGGUUUCACCCACUCAUAGGUUAACCUAGCCCUCCACCUUAUCUACUUUCAGACUGAGGACACAUAUUGGGGUUGACAGCAGAUAACAAGGAGGCUUGGAGAAGUAGGUUCAGCAAGGAGAAGGACACUUUAUUUGGCUGGAGAUAACCCUUAUUCCAUUACAGCAUUCAUUUGUUUCAAGGUCAGACAUUUCUGGACGCUUAAGGUGACGCUGCCUCUGCCAGUCUGACAGCUGAACUUCUGACAGUAGAAAUAAGCUUUUCUGUAGCUCCAAGCAGACAUCCCCCUGUGUAGGCUGCGUCAGCCGACAAAAUCUCAAACAUGAGCCUAUAUGUGCAUGAGCCCAACGCCACGUGUAUUUUGGAUGUCCAUGAACUUUUCAGAGGAAACUGGGCUCUGUAAAUGGGUCAAAGGUAAAAGCUGGUUACAGAUUGUGGGCUCCAUGUAGGGCUUUGUUUACAAAACCCACAUUAGAAGAUAGAGUGGAAAAACAUAUGGAGUAUCAAACCACCUCAUCAUCAAAUGGGAGUGCUUAUACCCAGAACUUGGCAGAACUGGUCUGACAUCUGAGGCAGUUCUGUAGCAGUUGUAGUCAUUAACAUAAAGACUCCAAUUCUUAUCAGAUUGAACAUUUCAAGCAGUGUGUUGUGGUCUUUGGGCUGGCGUUUACAGCAGCCAGAGCAGAGUAUCUUCAAUCAGAGCUCAAAAUAGUACACGGCACAGUAAGAAACCUCAGCUCAGUGAGUCUAAAAGCGACAAUUUUGACACAAACUGUAAGAUGCAAAAAUAAAGAAAGAAAAGAAAAAAUAAGUCUCACUCACCUGCUGUGAAGGGCUUCUGUUUGCAAGAGGCAGCCAAUCGGGAGAGAGUUGGUUUAAAAGGAUGGGAAAGAAGAUAAAAUGGUACGUUUCAAACAGAGGAUCAACUUAUUAACUGGGAAUCAUGCAAAGCUGCUCUAGCAGAGUCCAGGAAAAGAAAUGUCGGGCAGGAAAUCACUGUGGGGACUACAAAAUAUUGGUUUAAUGGAUGCACCAAGCCUCCAGUUGUGCACUUUCCCUGAUGCUAGUAGUUAUUAGACAACAGAACUGUGGAAGAGGUGAUUGGCUAGAAAAAAAAGCCCAGACAGUUGGAGAUCCGGUAAAUUCUGCUCUCCAAAGAUUACUAAAGUCAGUCCUCAAACACUCCCAGCCAUUUGUUGAAUGCCUGUCCUUCACCAGGUUUUGACAGGAAGUCAAAAAUAGGAUGAGCAUUACUUCCUCAGGUCCAAAGGGUAUUAUUCAAAGACUUGAGCCAUCGAACAUUCAACAUAACAGUAUAGUUGUCAUUUAUUCCUAAUCCACAUACAAUUUUAGUGAAUUUUGAAUGUUUCAAGUUGCUUUAAAUUAAUCCCAGCUUUUGUUUUCACUGCAACAUCUCCUGUUUCUAACGCGUUAUAUAGGAAAGCAUCUGGAACCUGUAAAAAGACAAAACACAAAGAACAAAGAUUUGUUCAGUUUUUAAUCAUUUCCCCCUUUCUUUACUAAUAAGUACAGUGCGACUGUAGAAAUCAGAGCCCAAUUUAAACCAGAGACCCAGCGCCACUUCAAAGUAAAGUGCCUUCUAGGAACGAUUUAAAGGUCUGGCUUGGUCCAAUGACCAGUUGGUCCCUCCGCUCUGUUUGUU
ensembl:lncRNA